GGGGACAAAAUGGAAGCGGAAGCAGCCGGGCGAGGAAUCCACGUGGGCUGGUCUGGGCUGUGUGAAGUAUAGAGAAAAGGCUUUUCAGGACUGCAUGUGACGAUGCCUGCGGGCUUUGUAAAGGCCAAGAAAAUAUUUGGGACUGUAGGGGUCAGUCAGAAGCAAAGUUUCACCAAUCUUUAUUUUGCUUGCAGUUCCGUAGACUUCAAGCUGACAAAUGGCAGAGGUUUGUGGUUUGCGUUUUUUAAAAAGCUUUCUCCAAAAUGAAUUUGUCGUUUCACGGAGAUCCCACCAUUACAUCUCAUUACAUCCCUAAAUGUUACUUUCUCACCUUAAAACAUUUAGCACCAAAAAAAAAAGUGAGAAAA
rnacentral:lncRNA from 1 species